rnacentral:tRNA from 1 species
GAGGGUAUAGCUCAAGUGGUAGAGCGCGUGCUUAGCAUGCAUGAGGUCCUGGGUUCAACCCCCAGUACCUCCU